rnacentral:rRNA from 1 species
UACAGAGGUCUCAAGCGUUGUUCGGAUUCAUUGGGCGUAAAGGGUGCGUAGGUGGCGCCAUAAGUCAGGUGGGAAAUCUCGGGGCUCAACUCCGAAACUGCACUUGAUACUGUGGUGCUCGAGUACUGGAGAGGAGAUUGGAAUUUACGGUGUAGCAGUGAAAUGCGUAGAUAUCGUAAGGAAGACCAGUGGCGAAGGCGAAUCUCUGGACAGUUACUGACACUGAGGCACGAAGGCCAGGGGAGCAAACGGG